rnacentral:rRNA from 1 species
CCUACGGGUGGCAGCAGUGGGGAAUAUUGCGCAAUGGGCGAAAGCCUGACGCAGCGACGCCGCGUGAGGGAUGAAGGUCUUCGGAUCGUAAACCUCUGUCAGCAGGGAAGAACGGUCACUGUGCUAAUCAGCAGUGAAUUGACGGUACCUGCAAAGGAAGCACCGGCUAACUCCGUGCCCGCAGCCGCGGUAAUACGGAGGGUGCGAGCGUUAGUCGGAAUUACUGGGCGUAAAUCGCUCGUAGGCGGUAUGUCAAGUCAAGGGUGAAAUCCCCGCGCUCAACGGGGGAACUGCCUUUGAAACUGACAAACUGGAGUGUGGGAGAGGUAAGUGGAAUUCCAGGUGUAGGAGUGAAAUCCGUAGAUAUCUGGAGGAACAUCAGUGGCGAAGGCGACUAUCUGGCACAUAACUGACGCUGAGGAGCGAAAGCGUGGGUAGCAAACAGGAUUAGAUACCCUUGUAGUC